rnacentral:rRNA from 1 species
CCUACGGGAGGCAGCAGUGGGGAAUUUUGGACAAUGGGCGCAAGCCUGAUCCAGCUAUUCCGCGUGUGGGAAGACGGCCUUCGGGUUGUAAACCACUUUUGUAGAGAACGAAAAGUCUAUUGAUAAUACCGAUAGAUGAUGACGGUACUCUAAGAAUAAGCACCGGCUAACUACGUGCCAGCAGCCGCGGUAAUACGUAGGGUGCGAGCGUUAAUCGGAAUUACUGGGCGUAAAGGGUGUGCAGGCGGUUUUGUAAGAUGGAUGUGAAAGCCCCGGGCUUAACCUGGGAAAGCCAUACAUGACUGCAAGACUAGAGUGCGUCAGAGGGGGGUGGAAUUCCAAGUGUAGCAGUGAAAUGCGUAGAUAUUUGGAAGAACACCGAUGGCGAAGGCAGCCCCCUGGGACGCAACUGACGCUCGUACACGAAAGCGUGGGGAGCAAACAGGAUUAGAUACCCCUGUAGUC